rnacentral:rRNA from 1 species
UACGAAGGGGGCUAGCGUUGUUCGGAAUUACUGGGCGUAAAGCGCGCGCAGGCGGCUAUCCAAGUCAGUGGUGAAAGCCCGGGGCUCAACCCCGGAACUGCCAUUGAAACUGUUUAGCUUGAGGACGAGAGAGGUGAGUGGAAUUCCCAGUGUAGAGGUGAAAUUCGUAGAUAUGGGGAAGAACACCAGUGGCGAAGGCGGCUUACUGGUCCGGUACUGACGCUGAGGUGCGAAAGCGUGGGGAGCAAACAGG